UUGGAGGGCAAGUCUGGUGCCAGCAGCCGCGGUAAUUCCAGCUCCAAUAGCGUAUAUUAAAGUUGUUGCAGUUAAAAAGCUCGUAGUUGAAUUUCGGGAUCAAUAUUUCGGUCGUGCCGUUGGUAUGCACUGUUAUCAUUGAUUUCUCACCUUCUAAAGAACCGUAAUGCCAUUAAUUUGGUGUUACGGGGAAUUAGGACUGUUACCUUGAAAAAAUUAGAGUGUUUAAAGCAGGCUCACGCUUGAAUACAUUAGCAUGGAAUAAUGAAAUAGGACAUCCGAUUCUAUUUUGUUGGUUUCUAGGAUCGAUGUAAUGAUUAAUAGGGAUAGUUGGGGGCAUUAGUAUUCAAUUGUCAGAGGUGAAAUUCUUGGAUUUAUUGAAGACUAACUACUGCGAAAGCAUUUGCCAAGGAUGUUUUCAUUAAUCAAGAACGAAAGUUAGGGGAUCGAAGACGAUCAGAUACCGUCGUAGUCUUAACCAUAAACUAUGCCGACUAGGGAUCGGAUGAUGUUAAUUUUUUAAUGACUCAUUCGGCGCCUUACGGGAAAC
rnacentral:rRNA from 1 species